rnacentral:rRNA from 1 species
GACGAACGCUGGCGGCGUGCUUAACACAUGCAAGUCGAACGGAAAGGCCCUGCUUUUGUGUUGUGCUCGAGUGGCGAACGGGUGAGUAACACGUGAGUAACCUGCUCUUUACUCUGGGAUAACUUCAGGAAACUGGGGCUAAUACCGGAUCUGAUCUCCUGCUGCAUUUUGGGCGUUGGAAAGUUUCGGCGGUUGGGGAUUGACGCGCGGCUUAUCGGCUGGUUGGUGGGGUAGUGGCUUACCAAGGCUUUGACGGGUAGCCGGCCUGAGAGGUUGACCGGCCACAUUGGGACUGAGAUAGGGCGCAGACUCGUAUGGGAGGCAGCGGUGGGGAGUAUUGCAGAAUGGGGGGAAGCGUGAUGAAGCAACGCCGCGUGCGGGAUGACGGCUUGCGGGUUGUAAACCGGUUUCGCAUGUGACGAAGCGUGAGUGACGGUAAUGGGUAAAGAAGCACCGGCUAACUACGUG